AGCGAACGCUGGCGGCAGGCCUAACACAUGCAAGUCGAACGAACUCUUCGGAGUUAGUGGCGGACGGGUGAGUAACACGUGGGAACGUGCCUUUAGGUUCGGAAUAACUCAGGGAAACUUGUGCUAAUACCGAAUGUGCCCUUCGGGGGAAAGAUUUAUCGCCUUUAGAGCGGCCCGCGUCUGAUUAGCUAGUUGGUGAGGUAAAGGCUCACCAAGGCGACGAUCAGUAGCUGGUCUGAGAGGAUGAUCAGCCACAUUGGGACUGAGACACGGCCCAAACUCCUACGGGAGGCAGCAGUGGGGAAUCUUGCGCAAUGGGCGAAAGCCUGACGCAGCCAUGCUGCGUGAAUGAUGAAGGUCUUAGGAUUGUAAAAUUCUUUCACCGGGGACGAUAAUGACGGUACCCGGAGAAGAAGCCCCGGCUAACUUCGUG
rnacentral:rRNA from 1 species